UACGUAGGGUGCAAGCGUUGUCCGGAAUUAUUGGGCGUAAAGAGCUCGUAGGCGGCUUGUCGCGUCUGCUGUGAAAACUCGGGGCUUAACUCCGGGCCUGCAGUGGGUACGGGCAGACUAGAGUGCGGUAGGGGAGAGUGGAAUUCCUGGUGUAGCGGUGAAAUGCGCAGAUAUCAGGAGGAACACCGGCGGCGAAGGCGGCCCUCUGGAUCGUUGCUGACGCUGAGACGCGAAAGCGUGGGGAGCAAACAGG
rnacentral:rRNA from 1 species